UUUUACUUACUCCGUGAAUCG
rnacentral:snRNA from 1 species